rnacentral:rRNA from 1 species
AUUGAACGCUGGCGGCAGGCCUAACACAUGCAAGUCGAACGGUAGCACAGAGAGCUUGCUCUCGGGUGACGAGUGGCGGACGGGUGAGUAAUGUCUGGGAAACUGCCCGAUGGAGGGGGAUAACUACUGGAAACGGUAGCUAAUACCGCAUAACGUCGCAAGACCAAAGUGGGGGACCUUCGGGCCUCACACCAUCGGAUGUGCCCAGAUGGGAUUAGCUAGUAGGUGGGGUAAUGGCUCACCUAGGCGACGAUCCCUAGCUGGUCUGAGAGGACGACCGGCCGAACUGGAACUGAGACACGGUCCAGAGUCCUACGGGAGGCGGCAGUGGGGAAUAUUGCACAAUGGGCGCAAGCCUGAUGCAUCCAUGCCGCGUGUAUGAAGAAGGCCUUCGGGUUGUAAAGUACUUUCAGCGGGGAGGAAGGCGGUGAAGUUAAUAGCUUCACCGAUUGACGUUACCCGCAGAAGAAGCACCGGCUAACUCCGUGCCAGCAGCCGCCGCCG